rnacentral:rRNA from 1 species
GAUGAACGCUGGCGGCGGGCCUAAUACAUGCAAGUCGAGCGAACAGAUGAGGAGCUUGCUCCUCUGACGUUAGCGGCGGACGGGUGAGUAACACGUGGAUGACCGACCUAUAAGACUGGGAUAACUUCGGGAAACCGGAUCUAAUACCCGAUAAGAUAUUGAACCGCAUGGUUCAAUGGUGAAAGACGUUUUUGCUGACACUUAGACAUGGAUCCACGUCGGAUUAGCUAGUUGGUAGGGUAAAGGCCUACCAAGGCGACUAUGCGUAACCGACCUGAGAGGAUGAUCAGUCACACUGGAACUGAGACACGGUCCAGACUCCUACGGGAGGCAGCAGUGGGGAAUAUUGGACAAUGGGCGAAAGCCUGAUCCAGCCAUGCCGCGUGUGUGAAGAAGGUCUUCGGAUUGUAAAACACUUUAAGUUGGGAGGAAGAGCAGUAAGUUAACACCUUGCUGUUUUGACGUUACCAACAGAAUAAGCACCGGCUAACUUCGUG